rnacentral:rRNA from 1 species
AUGCAAGUCGAACGAAGCACUGUAAUGAAUUUCUUCGGAAUGAAGUUUUUGUGACUGAGUGGCGGACGGGUGAGUAACGCGUGGGUAACCUGCCUCAUACAGGGGGAUAACAGUUGGAAACGACUGCUAAUACCGCAUAAGCGCACAGGAUUGCAUGAUCCAGUGUGAAAAACUCCGGUGGUAUGAGAUGGACCCGCGUCUGAUUAGCCAGUUGGCGGGGUAACGGCCCACCAAAGCGACGAUCAGUAGCCGACCUGAGAGGGUGACCGGCCACAUUGGGACUGAGACACGGCCCAAACUCCUACGGGAGGCAGCAGUGGGGAAUAUUGCACAAUGGGGGAAACCCUGAUGCAGCGACGCCGCGUGAGCGAAGAAGUAUUUCGGUAUGUAAAGCUCUAUCAGCAGGGAAGAAGAAUGACGGUACCUGACUAAGAAGCACCGGCUAAAUACGUGCCAGCAGCCGCGGUAAUACGUAUGGUGCAAGCGUUAUCCGGAUUUACUGGGUGUAAAGGGAGCGCAGGCGGUACGGUAAGUCUGAUGUGAAAUCCCGGGGCUCAACCCCGGUACUGCAUUGGAAACUGUCGGACUAGAGUGUCGGAGGGGUAAGUGGAAUUCCUAGUGUAGCGGUGAAAUGCGUAGAUAUUAGGAGGAACACCAGUGG